UACGGAGGGGACUAGCGUUGUUCGGAAUUACUGGGCGUAAAGCGCACGUAGGCGGAUUUGUAAGUCAGGGGUGAAAUCCCGGGGCUCAACCUCGGAACUGCCUUUGAUACUGCAAAUCUCGAGUCCGGAAGAGGUGAGUGGAAUUCCUAGUGUAGAGGUGAAAUUCGUAGAUAUUAGGAAGAACACCAGUGGUGAAGGCGGCUCACUGGUCCGGUACUGACGCUGAGGUGCGAAAGCGUGGGGAGCAAACAGG
rnacentral:rRNA from 1 species